GUACUUGCUUCAGCAGCACAGAUACUAAAAUUGUAAUGAUCAGAAAAGAUUAGCAUGGCCCCUAUGCAAGGAUGACAUAUAAUUCGUGAAGGAUUACAUGUUUUU
ensembl:snRNA U6 U6 spliceosomal RNA